GCUGUUGAAGCUUUUAAAAUGAAGCCCUAGUUUUGUAAUCUAGUGAAGUUAAAUAUUAACCUACAGCU
rnacentral:tRNA from 1 species